rnacentral:rRNA from 1 species
UCGGGAAUUUUGGGCAAUGGGCGAAAGCCUGACCCAGCAACGCCGCGUGAAGGAUGAAGUAUUUCGGUAUGUAAACUUCGAAAGAAUAGGAAGAAUAAAUGACGGUACUAUUUAUAAGGUCCGGCUAACUACGUGCCAGCAGCCGCGGUAAUACGUAGGGACCAAGCGUUGUUCGGAUUUACUGGGCGUAAAGGGCGCGUAGGCGGCAAUUCAAGUCAUCUGUGAAAUCUCCGGGCUUAACUCGGAACGGUCAGAUGAUACUGCUUUGCUAGAGUGCAGAAGGGGCAAUCGGAAUUCUUGGUGUAGCGGUGAAAUGCGUAGAUAUCAAGAGGAACACCUGAGGUGAAGACGGGUUGCUGGGCUGACACUGACGCUGAGGCACGAAAGCGUGGGGAGCAAACAGGAUUAGAUACCCUCGUAGUCCCUGAGCGGGCUGGCAAGGCGCAU